GGCUCGAUGGCGUAGUUGGUUAUCGCAUCUGUCUAACAUUUGACCCGGGCUUGAACCUGGGAGAAUGUCUCACAGAAGGUCGCAGUUUCGAGCACUGCUCGAGUCA
rnacentral:tRNA from 1 species